rnacentral:sRNA from 1 species
ACCUUCCAGUCUCUCCAUGUGCAUGAAAAGUGACAAGCAUGGGUCCCCAUAUUUCUACUUAUUGGGCCACCCUAAAGACACGCCCUGCCUGCCACCGUGG